AAAGACUGGUAAAAAACGAAAAGGAGUUGUAAAACCAAGAAAUCCAAACAUUCCACACCUUCACAUGUCGGAGAAGUGAUUCUCACUGCAGAUAAAUCGAAGUGAAGGAAGCCUUUGAAACUGUCUAAGGUAUGUUUGGUAGCAACUACUCUUUUUGCAGGCUUUUGUUGGUCAUUUUUUAGUAUGUUAAAAAUGUUCCCACACGUGAACCAGUAAGGGUAAGGGGGGAAAAUGACAAAGCAAAAUCUGCACUGGGUAACUUU
rnacentral:lncRNA from 1 species